UCUCACUUUUGCAGGUAACGGUAGCCUUCCUCCGCAUGUGGAUCGAAGCUACACUGUUAUCUUCGUCACGGAGAGCUGCAUCAUUGUGCGAGACGACAAAACGGCAUUCAGUGAUAAACCCAUUUUUUUCUUGUGGCAAUUAGAAAACAUGUAUGGCAGCGCCUAUAUCGACUGUCUGGAGGUAUAUGAGUUUAUAUCCAAGCGGCCUGGUUUUGAUUCUCGCACCGAAUGUGAGCACUGCUGUGACAGUAUGCCUCAAGUAAUGCACCUGGCCCGGCGUGAAUGUGGCUUAGACCUCAGUAACAUAAAUCUGCCAUGAACCAGGAACAUCUUUAAUACGUCGGAGUGCUGUAGAGCAUAGCUUGUAGAUUUUCUGGGCACCCGCUGAAAGCCGACCG